AGCUCCCAGUGCAGUGGCACAGAGAGCUCUCCUCACUCCAUGCACCUGCUGUGUGUGCACGGAGAGACCCUGAUGACUCCCCUACCAGCUCCUGCUCCACACAAAUAUCCCAGAUCAAAUGCUGCAGCGGUAUUGGUGUGAAAGGAGAGUGAUAAUGGCUCCCCUUGGUUACACCUGCCACAGAGGACAGCUGCUAAUACUACCUGCACUUGCAGCCUGUGUAUGUUAAGCAUGAGUCAGCAGCACCGAGCUGGGAUAUGUGAUACAGGCCCAGUGAGAGCCCAUGGAUACUAAGCAGCAGGCAAUAAUGCACCCUGGAGUCUCUGAUACAGGCUGCAGCCUGAAGACGGAGCCUAAUGUGUCACUGGAGAAGCCAGUUCAGAUUACAGCCAGAGCCUGCACCUGCAUUCAGCUGACAUGUCUAGGCCAUAGAGUCUCUAGACAACAAUUGUCAGGGGAUGGGGUUUUCUGACACUGGAAAAGGAGAUCGAAUACCAAAGCCAGCCUAGGGAGACCAGCCAGCCAAAGACAGCCUGACCUGGGAUGAUCAUACCUGCUACAGCUGCCUAGGAAUUAGCUACUAUCCUGGAAGGUGCUCCAUGUGUGCAGAUCCCUGCAUCUCUAUGGAGCCCCAUUGACUUUAGCAGGGGCUCCCCACUGGGCUAAGAAUCUGCUCAUGCCGAACACCAUUCAAGACAAGUGCCUUGGACUGGAAGCUCUUCAGGGCAGGGACCGUGUUGAAUUUGUCUGGCUGGAAAACACUUUGGGCAUGGACUAAUUAUGCAUAAUUGUAAUGGCUGUAUUUCCACUGUAAAAUCCUGAGUGUUUUGGAGCAGUAGAUUGUAUAUAAACAAAAGUAUUGUUGUUUUAUUAUCGCAAAGGUUGAUUAUUUAAGCGGGACUGGCAGUCCAAGCCAACUCUGUUGCUAUUUCAAAGUCUGCAGGGAAGAUCUAUGACUGCUGAAAUGUGAAUUUGGCCCAAUAUUAGCAGUUAAAUAAAUACUUGACCCACGUAUUAGGAAAGGAUUUUAGGGAGAAAAUGGGUCUGGUAUAAUAUACACAGUCACUUUGGGAUUGCUGAUGGAAUCAAUCAAUCCAUAUUAUGGUUGCAACUGGCUCUUACACUGCUCCUGUCUGACAGCUGUGUACACCUUCUACCACCAAAACUGCGAUUCGCGCAGUGGUGUGUCUGGUAUUAUUUUGAGGCUCUAAAGAGAAGGAUGAGUUCCCUGGGGCUGCGUGUCUCAGAUAAUGUGCUGUAUUCUCUUCCACAUGGGAACAUGAGCUACAUUCACCCCAGCCUUUCUGUAUUAAAGACUACGUGACCUUUAUUGUGUUGCAGAGAGCAAACUCUCUCUCAGCAUGUUCAGCCAGCUGGAAAGGGCAGCCUCCUUGGGAGGCAGCAGCUGCUUUGAUGUGCUGAGGAAAUGCAGGGUCAGCUUGAUGGCUUUAUUUAUUUAUUUUUUUUCUGUUCAGCUCAUGAUUCCAUUUCAGUGGUGGCGCCCAAUUUUUCCCAAGUGAGGGACCGCAGAGAAGUAACAGGCCAGGAGCACAUGAGAGACAAUCUGACAGACAUAAGUAGCCAAAAAAGAAUCUGGUUGCAUCUGUCCUCAUCUUCCACGCAGUGACACAGCCUAUGGAGACUACAAGCCCCACUGUGCAAGGCUCCAUCUUGAAACCAGUGGACCUGUGAAACCUCAAAAUUAAUUUAAUAGUGGUGGGCUGUGUAUUUAUUUAUUUUUCCACAAAUUAUUGGUUUGGACUUUGGUUUAUUAGCUGUUCACCACACAGGCCCUGAUCUUGCCAGGAGCUCCAUGCAGGCAGCCCACAAACAGCUUGCUGCAGGAUCAAGGCCAGAGACUGUACGCUGUGAAGAGACUUUAAUAAGUGACAAUAAUGCAUAGGAAUGACUCUCUGCAAAUGGGAGGGAAUGGCUUAUUAGAUUAAUCCUCUGGUUUUUCACUCCAAGACACAGAUUCAAUCACCAAAGUGUUUGUAUGUGGUUCUUAUAUUGUUUGUUACCAUAAUAAAAGACAAAACCCCUUUCAUGCAGACCUGUGGAUAGCUAAAUAAAUAUGUUCUUUGAUGCAAGCUUUUUAAGAUUUCUGAGUGAUAAUGCAAACUGGGAUGAGGAACCUUCUGCCCUCUGGUGGGAGCAGAAUGAUUUAUUUUAUUUAUCUGUGUUAUGAAAUAACAAUGCCAAAAAGAAUAUAAUAAAGACUUCCUGCCUCUA